rnacentral:rRNA from 1 species
GACGAACGCUGGCGGCGUGCUAAACACAUGCAAGUCGAACGGUAAGGCCCUUCGGGGUACACGAGUGGCGAACGGGUGAGUAACACGUGGGUGAUCUGCCCUGCACUUCGGGAUAAGCCUGGGAAACUGGGUCUAAUACCGGAUAGGACCACUGCCUGCAUGGGUGGUGGUGGAAAGCUUUUGCGGUGUGGGAUGUAGGCCCGCGGCCUAUCAGCUUGUUGGUGGGGUGAUGGCCUACCAAGGCGACGACGGGUAGCCGGCCUGAGAGGGUGACCGGCCACACUGGGAAUGGGAUCCGGCCCAGACUCCUACGGGAGGCAGCAGUGGGGAAUAUUGCACAAUGGGCGCAAGCCUGAUGCAGCGACGCCGCGUGAGGGAUGACGGCCUUCGGGUUGUAAACCUCUUUCAGCACCGACGAAGCGCAAGUGACGGUAGGUGCAGAAGAAGGACCGGCCAACUACGUGCCAGCCGCCGCCGUAA